rnacentral:siRNA from 1 species
AUAAUGUGUCGUUGGUGCACCAA